AGAGUUUGAUCAUGGCUCAGAACGAACGCUGGCGGCAGGCCUAACACAUGCAAGUCGAACGAUACAGUGGCAGACGGGUGAGUAACGCGUGGGAACGUACCUUUCACUACGGAAUAGCUCUGGGAAACUGGUGGUAAUACCGUAUACGCCCUCCGGGGGAAAGAUUUAUCGGUGAAAGAUCGGCCCGCGUUAGAUUAGGUAGUUGGUGGGGUAAUGGCCUACCAAGCCUACGAUCUAUAGCUGGUCUGAGAGGAUGAUCAGCCACAUUGGGACUGAGACACGGCCCAAACUCCUACGGGAGGCAGCAGUGGGGAAUCUUGCACAAUGGGCGAAAGCCUGAUGCAGCCAUGCCGCGUGAAUGAUGAAGGCCUUAGGGUUGUAAAAUUCUUUCGCUAGGGAUGAUAAUGACAGUACCUAGUAAAGAAGCCCCGGCUAACUUCGUGCCAGCAGCCGCGGUAAUACGAAGGGGGCUAGCGUUGUUCGGAAUUACUGGGCGUAAAGCGCACGUAGGCGGACUUCUAAGUCAGAUGUGAAAUCCCGAGGCUCAACCUCGGAACUGCAUUUGAAACUGGUAGUCUGGAGUUCAGGAGAGGUUAGCGGAAUACCGAGUGUAGAGGUGAAAUUCGUAGAUAUUCGGUGGAACACCAGUGGCGAAGGCGGCUAACUGGACUGAUACUGACGCUGAGGUGCGAAAGUGUGGGGAGCAAACAGGAUUAGAUACCCUAGUAGUCC
rnacentral:rRNA from 1 species